rnacentral:rRNA from 1 species
AAGGAAUUUUCGUCAAUGGGCGCAAGCCUGAACGAGCAACGCCGCGUGCAGGAUGACGGCCUUCGGGUUGUAAACUGCUUUUCGGGGGGACGAUGAUGACGGUACCCCCGGAAUAAGGCCCGGCUAACUCUGUGCCAGCAGCCGCGGUAAUACAGAGGAGCCAAGCGUUGUCCGGAUUGACUGGGCGUAAAGCGCACGCAGGCGGUCUGGCGCGUGGGGUGUGAAAUCUGGCCGCUUAACGGCCAGGCGCCAUCCCAUACGGCCGGACUGGAGUGAUGCAGAGGUCGGUGGAAUUGCCGGUGUAGUGGUGAAAUGCGUAGAGAUCGGCAGGAACACCCAGGGGGAAACCAGCCGACUGGGCAUCGACUGACGCUGAUGUGCGAGAGCGUGGGGAGCGAAC